rnacentral:tRNA from 2 species
GGGGGAUUAGCUCAGCUGGCUAGAGCGCUUCCAUGGCAUGGAAGAGGUCAUCGGUUCGAAUCCGAUAUUCUCCACUA